rnacentral:tRNA from 1 species
AUUUAUAUAGUUUAACAAAAACAUUACAUUUUCACUGUAAAAAUAAAAAUUUAUUUUUUAUAGAUA